UAGGGAAUAUUGCAAAUGGGCGAAAGCCUGAUGUAGCAACGCCGCGUGUGCGAUGAAGGUCUUCGGAUUGUAAAGCACUUUUUGGAGGGAUGAGGAAGGACAGUACCUCCAGAAUAAGCCUCGGCUAACUACGUGCCAGCAGCCGCGGUAACACGUAGGAGGCAAGCGUUAUUCGGAUUUACUGGGCGUAAAGCGCGUGCAGGCGGUUUGGAAAGUUGGAUGUGAAAGCUCCUGGCUCAACUGGGAGAGGUCGUUCAAAACUUCCAGACUUGAGAGUGGUAGAGGGAGGUGGAGUUCCGGGUGUAGUGGUGAAAUGCGUAGAUAACCGGAGGAACACCAGUGGAGAAAGCGGCCUCCUGGACCACUU
rnacentral:rRNA from 1 species